AACUCCUGCUCAUCUCUCAAUGAAUGAAAUUCAUUACUAUAGGGAUGAGUGGAUAAACUAUUUAUGUGCUAUUUGUUUUAUAUUAUUGUUUAAUUUUACACACAUAAUUAAAAUUUUUCUACAUUUAAACAGAUUUAUACAAAAUGCUUAAAAGUUUAGUUUUAGAGUCAUACCAUUGGCUUCAAAACAUGUUUCACUUGAAGUAAGUGGUCAACAUAUUGAGAUCAUAUGAUAAGCCGAAUACUCUCUGUAACACACAUUAUUGGCCACAUUUGGUUCAUUUAGGUCCAUUUACACCUGGUCUGAUUUAAAUAAACUAAAUUCUUCUUGGUGUGUUCAGUCUCAUGUGACAUUUCUUAGUUGUCAGUAGUAAGACAGACGUUAACAAAUCAAAGCAUGUUUCAGACCAUUAACGUAUAGUAGCCUAAUUUAUGAUUUUUUGACACAAAUGGAACUCAAUUUAGAGUAGAUUUAGAGCUGUUGACAGUCAAAUUGUUGGAAUUAUUAUAGACAGUAGGGGUCUCCUUUGAGCCUAAAUAAAGUUACUGAUCACGUGGAGUGAAACAGUCUUUAUAAAACAGAGCAUUGAGUUUGUGUUCGUUUAAAGUGGUUCAUUCUACACAUCCUGUUCAGACCUCACACACACUGCUGUUCAUUCAUGUCAUUCCUCCAGCACUGAAGCAUCAACAUGAUAUUUAUAGUGUGCUUCAUUUAUUUAGCAGCACCUCCAUUCUGGGUCUCAGGAGAAUCACUAAGUGAUCAAGUUCAUCAGAAUCCACCUCAUCUGAUAACAAAUGCUGAGAAAACAGUUCAGAUCAGCUGUUCUCACACCAUUAAUGACUAUAGAACGAUAUUAUGGUAUCAGCAGCUGAAGGGUGACAGUGCACUAAAUCUUAUUGGAAAUGUGUAUUACAAAAAUCCAACCACUGAAGACCAAUAUAAAACUCAGUUUGCCAUCGAAGGAAAUGGAGAAGAAUCCUCUACUCUUAAUGUAACAUUAAAAAAGGAACAUGUUGGGAGUACUGUAGUAUAUUACUGUGCUGCCAGUAGAGCACAGUGUGGAAGAUCCUUUAAUCACUCUUACAAAAACCUUCGGUUAAACCCUGUCACCACAACAUUAUUAGCACCUGAAUGCACCCAUACACCCCCAAACAUGAUCACUCAGUGCACCCAUAUUAAGCUGUAUGAUUAAUAUAUAUAUAUACAGUCGUGGCCAAAAGUUUUGAGAAUUACAUAAAUAUUAGUUUUCAAAAAGUUUGCUGCUAAACUGCUUUUAGAUCUUUGUUUCAGUUGUUUCUGUGAUGUACUGAAAUAUAAUUACAAGCACUUCAUACGUUUCAAAGGCUUUUAUCGACAAUUACAUGACAUUUAUGCAAAGAGUCAGUAUUUGCAGUGUUGGCCCUUCUUUUUCAGGACCUCUGCAAUUCGACUGGGCAUGCUCUCAAUCAACUUCUGGGCCAAAUCCUGACUGACAG
rnacentral:lncRNA from 1 species